rnacentral:rRNA from 1 species
UACAGAGGUGGCAAGCGUUGUUCGGAAUUACUGGGCGUAAAGCGCGUGUAGGCGGCUCUUCAAGUCAGGCGUGAAAGCCCCCGGGCUCAACUCGGGAACUGCGCUUGAUACUGUCGAGCUAGAGUGUGGAAGGGGCGAUUGGAAUUCCGUGUGUAGCGGUGAAAUGCGUAGAUAUACGGAGGAACACCAGAGGCGAAGGCGGAUCGCUGGGCCAACACUGACGCUGAGACGCGAAAGCUGGGGGUAGCAAACGGG